rnacentral:rRNA from 1 species
UACGUAGGCAGCAAGCGUUGUUCGGAAUUACUGGGCGUAAAGAGUGUGUAGGCGGUGCUCCAAGUCUGGUGUGAAAUCUCCCGGCUUAAACUGGGAGGGUGCAUUAGAAACUGGAAUGCUAGAGGAUGGGAGAGGUAAGCGGAAUUCCUGGUGUAGCGGUGAAAUGCGUAGAUAUCAGGAGGAACACCUGUGGUGUAGACAGCUUACUGGACCAUUUCUGACGCUGAGACACGAAAGCGUGGGUAGCAAACAGG